rnacentral:rRNA from 1 species
UACGAAGGGGGCUAGCGUUACUCGGAAUUACUGGGCGUAAAGGGCGCGUAGGCGGCGCUCCAAGUUAGGCGUGAAAGUCCUGGGCUCAACCUGGGAACUGCGCUUAAGACUGGAGUGCUUGAGGAUGGAAGAGGGUCGUGGAAUUCCCAGUGUAGAGGUGAAAUUCGUAGAUAUUGGGAAGAACACCGGUGGCGAAGGCGGCGACCUGGUCCAUUACUGACGCUGAGGCGCGAUAGCGUGGGGAGCAACAGG